rnacentral:rRNA from 1 species
GUGGGGAUUAGUGGCGAACGGGUGAGUAACACGUGGGCAAUCUGCCCUUCACUCUGGGACAAGCCCUGGAAACGGGGUCUAAUACCGGAUAACACUCCCGCACUCAUGUGCGGGGGUUAAAAGCUCCGGCGGUGAAGGAUGAGCCCGCGGCCUAUCAGCUUGUUGGUGAGGUAAUGGCUCACCAAGGCGACGACGGGUAGCCGGCCUGAGAGGGCGACCGGCCACACUGGGACUGAGACACGGCCCAGACUCCUACGGGAGGCAGCAGUGGGGAAUAUUGCACAAUGGGCGAAAGCCUGAUGCAGCGACGCCGCGUGAGGGAUGACGGCCUUCGGGUUGUAAACCUCUUUCAGCAGGGAAGAAGCGAAAGUGACGGUACCUGCAGAAGAAGCGCCGGCUAACUACGUGCCAGC